GACGAACGCUGGCGGCGUGCUUAACACAUGCAAGUCGAACGGAAAGGCCCUGCUUUUGUGGGGUGCUCGAGUGGCGAACGGGUGAGUAACACGUGAGUAACCUGCCCUUGACUUUGGGAUAACUUCAGGAAACUGGGGCUAAUACCGGAUAGGAGCUCCUGCUGCAUGGUGGGGGUUGGAAAGUUUCGGCGGUUGGGGAUGGACUCGCGGCUUAUCAGCUUGUUGGUGGGGUAGUGGCUUACCAAGGCUUUGACGGGUAGCCGGCCUGAGAGGGUGACCGGCCACAUUGGGACUGAGAUACGGCCCAGACUCCUACGGGAGGCAGCAGUGGGGAAUAUUGCACAAUGGGCGGAAGCCUGAUGCAGCAACGCCGCGUGCGGGAUGACGGCCUUCGGGUUGUAAACCGCUUUCGCCUGUGACGAAGCGUGAGUGACGGUAAUGGGUAAAGAAGCACCGGCUAACUACGUGCCAGCAGCCGCGGUGAUACGUAGGGUGCGAGCGUUGUCCGGAUUUAUUGGGCGUAAAGGGCUCGUAGGUGGUUGAUCGCGUCGGAAGUGUAAUCUUGGGGCUUAACCCUGAGCGUGCUUUCGAUACGGGUUGACUUGAGGAAGGUAGGGGAGAAUGGAAUUCCUGGUGGAGCGGUGGAAUGCGCAGAUAUCAGGAGGAACACCAGUGGCGAAGGCGGUUCUCUGGGCCUUUCCUGACGCUGAGGAGCGAAAGCGUGGGGAGCGAACAGGCUUAGAUACCCUGGUAGUCCACGCUGUAAACGGUGGGUACUAGGUGUGGGGUCCAUUCCACGGGUUCCGUGCCGUAGCUAACGCUUUAAGUACCCCGCCUGGGGAGUACGGCCGCAAGGCUAAAACUCAAAGGAAUUGACGGGGCCCCGCACAAGCGGCGGAGCAUGCGGAUUAAUUCGAUGCAACGCGUAGAACCUUACCUGGGUUUGACAUGGAUCGGGAGCGCUCAGAGAUGGGUGUGCCUCUUUUGGGGUCGGUUCACAGGUGGUGCAUGGCUGUCGUCAGCUCGUGUCGUGAGAUGUUGGGUUAAGUCCCGCAACGAGCGCAACCCUUGUUCACUGUUGCCAGCACGUUAUGGUGGGGACUCAGUGGAGACCGCCGGGGUCAACUCGGAGGAAGGUGGGGAUGACGUCAAGUCAUCAUGCCCCUUAUGUCCAGGGCCUCACGCAUGCUACAAUGGCUGGUACAGAGAGUGGCGAGCCUGUGAGGGUGAGCGAAUCUCGGAAAGCCGGUCUCAGUUCGGAUUGGGGUCUGCAACUCGACCUCAUGAAGUCGGAGUCGCUAGUAAUCGCAGAUCAGCAACGCUGCGGUGAAUACGUUCCCGGG
rnacentral:rRNA from 1 species